CACGUAGGAACCGAGCGUUAUCCGAGUUUACUGGGCGUAAAGCGCGUGUAGGUGGCUCGAUAAGUUGGGUGUGAAAGCUCCUGGCUCAACUGGGAGAGGCCGCUCAAUACUGUCGGGCUUGAGAACGGUAGAGGGAGGUGGAAUUCCCGGUGUAGUGGUGAAAUGCGUAGAUAUCGGGAGGAACACCAGUGGUGAAGGCGGCCUCCUGGACCGUUUCUGACACUGAGACGCGAAAGCUAGGGGAGCGAACGGG
rnacentral:rRNA from 1 species